UACGUAGGGUGCAAGCGUUAAUCGGAAUUACUGGGCGUAAAUCGUGCGCAGGCGGUUUUGUAAGUCUGACGUGAAAGCCCCGGGCUCAACCUGGGAAUUGCGUUGGAGACUGCAAGGCUUGAAUCUGGCAGAGGGGGGUAGAAUUCCACGUGUAGCAGUGAAAUGCGUAGAGAUGUGGAGGAACACCGAUGGCGAAGGCAGCCCCCUGGGUCAAGAUUGACGCUCAUGCACGAAAGCGUGGGGAGCAAACAGG
rnacentral:rRNA from 1 species